ensembl:lncRNA
CUGGCUGCCUCAGCACAGCAUGGGAUUCGUGGAACCUGCACCAGCUGGUGAGAGAUACGUCCUCCAGCCUGGGUCAUAGGGCCUGGGUAUAGCUUGGAAGCUGAGUUGUGUAAUGGCGGGUGCUUGGGUGAGAAAGCCAGGCCUUGUGGGAUGGGGUUAUGGGGUCAUCUUGGUUAUGGUGCAAGGGUGAGUGUGCUGGGAGGCUGCAGCCAAUUUUGUCGUUGUUGUGGGUCCUGCAGCUCUGAAGAGAUCUGAGCAGCCUCUGUGGUAUUCAGAGCUAUGUAAUAUGGCCUGUCUAGGGUUAGCGUGUAGAGAAUUACGAUCUCCUCUGUGUGUGAAAGUCUGCAGUGCUGUGUGCCUUACCACAGAGGUCAGUCUGCAUGGAUGCGUAGCAAUUGGAAGUUGGGAUCGUGCAGGUAUUGAUGGGUUGGUAUCUGUAUGGGAACUGUUGAGUCACAGCCUGAACCACUGAUUGAGCACCUGGGGAAAGGACCCGGUCAGCCCUGGGAGCACAGGUGAAGGCAAUUCAGCUGUGUGACCAGAAGGGGUGGAGCCUGGCUGCACCUCUCUUAGACCUCAUUUAAGGGCUGACUGCCACGGGGGAAGGGUCUCUGGUUGGUGAUCCCUCUCUUGUGGAGUUUUCCCCGUGAGCCUGCAUCUUCAGAGAUGGAUCUGCACUGUGGGUCUUGCCUUCUGCCUUGCUGAUGAGAGAGCAUUGCAUGUUUGAGGAGGCAGGUCCUUCUCCCUGAACCACGCUCCAUGCAGGCCUGAGGGAAGCACGCUCUCUGAGCUGAGUUGCUCUGCUGGGUUUGUCUUCAUACAGCUUCCAGUGCUGGUGUGAAAUUGUGCCGCUUUGUGCACUCACAGCUGAGCAGAGGCAGAGCCUGCGGAAACGAGCAGACGUCAGUCAGCCCAGUGCGCUGUUAGCCACGAAAGUCCUCAGCACAAUGAUGUGGUGAGGCCGUGAUCUCGGAGAGACAGAAAAUGAGAUGGAUGCUUCAGAUGGAUCAGGAGGAAAUGCUGAAUCGUAAAGGUAUGGUCGAGUCUGGGAUGGGCUUUGCUCUGUGGAGGAGCCAGCUGAAGGCUACCACUGACCGAGAGGAAACGGCAUGAAAAUCUUGUUACUCGUACCUUGUUAGAUAAUUACCUCUUGCAGAGUUGUUUUUUUUCCCCCUGAAUUACAGUCACUGUUGGAGGCAGGCUAUGGGCUCAGACAGAGCCCUGGCUGGACAGCCUGGUAUUUCCUGCGCUCUUAUUUCCAUGGAUCCUCUCCCACCCCUGCCUUUGUCCUGCUAUUGUGCGACACUACAAGGAUGCAAUAUGUCUGAGGUUGUCGCGGCGUUUCUGCAGACAGCUCCGAGUGGUGUUUGCAGAGCCCCCCGAUAUGCUCCUCACUCUCCC